GAUGGUAACGCUGUUGAUUCUCAAGCAAUAACCAAGAUGAAACUUGCCCAAAUUGAGAAGAGGCCUCCUAGGGUACCUCGGCCGCCUCCUAAAGCAUCUGGAGAUGCCCCUGCUGGUACAACUCCCAAACCCUCAAGUGGAGUACCACCUCCUCCACCAGGUGGCCCACCACCGCCGCCACCCCCACCUGGUGGACCACCUCGUCCACCUCCUCCACCAGGAAGCCUGCCAAGGGGGGCAGGCAGUGCUGAUAAAGUGCACCGUGCUCCUGAGCUGGUUGAAUUUUAUCAGUCAUUGAUGAAACGUGAAGCAAAGAAGGAUACAUCAUCUUUAAUAUCUUCAUCAUCU
rnacentral:lncRNA from 1 species